AAUGAACGCUGGCGGCGUGCCUAACACAUGCAAGUCGAGCGGACAGAAGGGAGCUUGCUCCUGGAAGUCAGCGGCGGACGGGUGAGUAACACGUGGGCAACCUGCCUGUAAGACUGGGAUAACUUCGGGAAACCGGAGCUAAUACCGGAUAGGUUCUUCCCCCGCAUGGGGGAAGAUGGAAAGACGGUUUCGGCUGUCACUUACAGAUGGGCCCGCGGCGCAUUAGCUAGUUGGUGGGGUAAUGGCCCACCAAGGCGACGAUGCGUAGCCGACCUGAGAGGGUGAUCGGCCACACUGGGACUGAGACACGGCCCAGACUCCUACGGGAGGCAGCAGUAGGGAAUCUUCCGCAAUGGACGAAAGUCUGACGGAGCAACGCCGCGUGAGCGAAGAAGGCCUUCGGGUCGUAAAGCUCUGUUGUCAGGGAAGAACAAGUGCCAGAGUAACUGCUGGCACCUUGACGGUACCUGACCAGAAAGCCACGGCUAACUACGUG
rnacentral:rRNA from 1 species